AUACACUAAAAGAAUAACUAGUAUAAAGAUAAAUAGAUUUUUACAGCAGUAUCCUCAUUGGAAUCCUCCUAUGUUGCAAGAUAUUUCAGAGGUCAGGUGAGUGAACCUUGAGGCAAUUGUCCAAGGUUCACAGAAUGAACCCAAGCCAAGGUCCAAAAAACAAUAUGAGAAACUUGAGGAGAAGAUGAUAUGGCCAAAUAAUAGAUUUUUAGCUAGAUUUUGGGGAGUGAGGUUCUUUGUGAGAGACAGAGUCUCAGGUGAACUUUAUGAUUUCUUCCUUCUGGUAUUCACAUCAUUAGGUUAUCACCCCACCCCACCCCCUUGAAUGUGGCAGGCCGAUGACAGGCUUCCAUUCAAUAGGAAACCAUGGCAAAGGUGACAGGAUGCAUGUGAUCACACAUACAUAGUUACGUUGUAUUAACACUGUAACACCCAUAUUGAGAAGAAACUCUUUCUCCUUUGUUGACCUAGAGAAGCAAGCUGCCAUAUUAUGUGCUGCCAUAUUGAAAAGCCAAGAUGCUGAGGAUAACCUCUAGCUAAAAAACCAGCAAGAAAAUGGGAACCUCAGUCCAGUAGCCUGCAAAGAACUGAAUUAUGCCAACAACACAGGAAUUGAGAAGUAGAUUUCUCCUUGUUGAGACCUCAUAUGAGAUGAAACCUUGGCCAGCACUUUAAUUGCAAAUUUAAGAUCCUGAAACAGAGGAUCCUCAAGCUCAGACUCUGGACCUGCAGAGUGUGAGAUAAUAAACGGGUGUUAUUUUAAGCUUCUAAACUUGUGGCAAAAUUAAUUCAUAGCAGUACACUGCUAACACAACCAUUUUCCAGUCCACAUUUCAUAAGAUGUUCCUUGUCAUCAUAUGACAGGGAAAGGGAGGCAAAUCACUCAAGCUUGGCAGUAAUGUUGCAGGAGACAGAUGUAGACUUAUCAGAGUGGUUCAGGGCCACACAGAGAUGGCCAGCUCUGGACCCUCAGGAAUGACAACAAAUAAUUUGUUCAGCAGUUGGGUAGUAUUGUUAAAACUUCCAUAUGAACCAGUGAAAAUAUAAGUUACUAAGCUUAAUAGGGUGGUAUUUUGGAGGAAAUAAUGAUUUUUCCUCAUUGGUUCAACUUAAUAGUGAAGUGAGGUGGUAAUAAAAUGAAAUAGCUGGUGAGGAUACAUGGGAAGAAUCCUUAUUCUCUGUAGAGACUAUAUGAAUGCAACAUCCAAGAUAUUUGCAACAUACUAAGAUAUUUUAGGAGGGUAAAGAGCACUGUUCUUGCAGCCAAGAGGCCACAUGAGUUUUGGAAGACACUGCCUUGAAACAUACGUGGGCACAUGACCAGGAAUAUAUUCCAAAGUAUGAUUAAUGUCAGAUUACUAGAUUGAAGGCAAGAGACAGCUAUGACAAUUUUCACAGUGAAAAUUUUUAUUUUGAAGUUUAUAAAAUGUACAGUAUAAUGACUAAACAUUCUAUCUGCAGAACAUUUAUUUUCUAAUUUGUAGAGUCAAUUGUAAGUAUGCUUUCUUAGAUUAUGCUAUUAUAGUUUUUCAGUCAGAGUAAGAAUAAAGAAGUAUUUGUAUGAAAAUAAGAUAUCCAUAUUGCCUUUUUAAUUUACUAAGUUUCGAUGAGUUUAAGCCGUUUCUAAUGGAAAUACUUUGUUUGUUAUGUGCAAUACAUCAUUUUAUUCUUGUCAAUUUAUUUUCACCUUCUCCUUAUUCCCUUAUUGAGAAUACCUACUAGAUAAUGGAUUGGUAUACACAUUAUCAUCAGUGUAAUUUUACAUCUCUUUGCAGGUAAGCAUUAAAGAGUUUUCCUCUACAGUGACAGAUAGCCACAAGUUAGAUGAUUGUAUAUUAUUAUAUAGGAGUACACUGUGAUGGAAUUUAGAUAGAUAAAAUGACCAAGAAUUUUGUUGAGAAGACAAGAAAAAUGAAAAUUGAAUUUUAAAAAUCAAAAUUGUAUAUCAUCAUGGCAUUAUUGAUCAAAGUAAACUUUUCAAAACAUCAUUCAACACAAUUGGUCAAACUACACUUCAGGAAAGAAGAAAAGUCCUGCAGAGAUCACAGAUGACAGCCCAGUGCACAAAUUCCUAAUCAAAUCAUCGCCAUCUGCAUAACUUGUGAUCAAAUCUGCUUUGGCAUCUGGCUUGAUAUCUCCUCAAGGAUAUGAGUCUUAAUGCACAGAAACCUUAAAUGGAUAGAAAUAACGUGUUUAAAGAUGAAAAAGAAUGAUCUCACCCACAGAGAAAGAGUUAAGAGCUUAUGUUUGUUAUUAUUGUAAACCCUUCUUACAUGUGUUUGUGACUGUUGCUCAAGGGUUUACUGACUUCACACAGGGCAGAGAUGACCUGCAUUCUGACCCCUCUGCAUUAACCAGUCUGCUAAUAAUUAUUAAUUAACUGACUCUCUUGCUAAAUACUGACCAAAAUAUACAAGAAGAAACCUUGAGAACAAGGAAUCAUCUAUUUAUCAGGACUUCCGCAGGUUACACCCUGGUUCCUUUCCUACUUCUUUCCAGAACACUUCUAAUUUAUGGAUUACAAAGUUCAUUAUGUUUGUUUUUUUCCUUUCCUUUCCUUUCCUUUCCUUUCCUUUCCUCUCCUCUCCUUUCCUUUCCUUUCCUCUCUUCUCCUCUCCUCUCUUCUCCUCUCCUCUCUUCCCCUCCCCUCCCCUCUCCUCCUCUCCUCCCCUUCUCUCUCUCCUCCCCUCCCUUUCCUUUCUUUUCCCUUUUCUUUCCUAUUUCUUUCCUUUCCUUUCCUUUGUUAUUUCUUUUCUUUCUUUUUUAAUUCUUAUACCUGAAUCAUGUAAGUAGGCUGAAAUGCAUGCACUGUGAGUAGUAAAAUAGAUCUAUCUUUAGAAAUGACGUUGAAGCUCAUUUUGACAUGAAUAGAACCAGAAAUUCAGAUACUCUUAAACCUUAUAUGUUAUUUAAUCCUUUGAAAUAUGUAGUGGAGCCAACUUAAAUAUACCUUAUAAAAACCAAAAACAGAAAUACAGCGGAACCUAGGAAGAAACUGGAAUCAAGCACUGUAAAGUCUUUGACCUUUUUCCUUCCUCCAUAUUGCCUUAUUUGUCCCUCUUUAUUUAUUUUCCCUUCUAGAAAUUUCUUUGCUUCUCUAAACCACAUGGCAAAAUAUGCCUGUCUGUAUGGUUUCUGAGCUAAUGUAUUAUAAUUCUAGCUUUAUGAACUGGCUGAUUGGCCCUAAUUGCAAAUUCAUGGCGAUUAAUAGGAUGAUGAACACACUUGCAAAGGUGUCCAUUGCUGAUCUAAUUAGAGGCGGCCAAGAAUAUGAACCAUGGUGGACUAUAAUGGCUCAGAGCAAAUUUCCAGGAAAACCGUAAUGUCAUCUUGGAAUCGUAUAUGAAUCCAGAAAUAUCAUUUCAAUAUCAAGAUUUUUAAACUUUGAGCACUUAAAUCACUGCAUCCCUUAUUUUGAACUUGGUGAUGAGUGCUGUAUAUCCAGGAAAGGAAUCUGACCUUUGACAUCUUCAUUUCCACAUUCACAAAUGAGACAAGUGAGAGGCAACUACUAAUGAAAGUUUUAUGCAAGCUGAAAUUACUGGAUAAAAUUAGCAAUGAAAUCCCUCGCCUCCAUUAUCUUUUCAUUUCAUACAACUACACAUUUUUAUAGAAGAAUUCCUAAAGAGGGAUUUACAUAAAAAACUGCAUAAAUAAAUGGAUGGUGUGGAAAAAGGGCCAUGUAAUGAUCUAGAUGUAUUGUUUGACUAUCUUUAAACACAACUUUUAAAAAAAAAAAAUCAUUUUAAAGAAAGGUGGUAAAUGUUUAAGUCAAUUUUCGUUUUGAAAAUUCUCAAUCACUAAAACCAUGUAAUAGCCUAUGUCAUUUGAUAGUUAAUGUCAACUAACAAAAAGUAUGAAAAGCUUCUAUUACCAGUGGUAUGCUAAACCUCACUCCAGGUAUUGAGAGUUGCUUUUGCACUUUGGUUAUUAAAUACAGCCCUUAGUAAAACUAAAUUACUUUUUACACUUUUUAUAGGGAAAUAUCUUUUAAUUAAUAAAUGCUGAAAACUAGUUAAGUCCUAAUUAUUUUACUGUAUUGCAUUAUUGUAUAUGCUCUUGAAGCUAUUUUAUCCAUGGGGAAAAUAAGUACUGGUGUGCCACAGCGCAUCUCUUACCAACUUUACAUUCAGCACUAUCACACUGGUAGUUCUAAAGUGCUCACAAUGGGGAUAUUCACACUGCUUUGUUCUUUUGCUUGCCUGUGUUUGUCCUGUUGCCCUGCUGAGAGCUCAAUGCAAACUAAUAGGAAAUAUGGGACAGUCUUUGAACCAUGAUUGACCAAUAGUUAAUGCAAGGAUGAGGGAGGAGAUACAGAAAGAACAGCCAUAAAAGAAGACAAAAAUAUUUACAGAUGUUUUAUUUGUAGAACAUAAAUGUGCUAGGUAAGGUGUAAUGUAACCCCACUACCAUCACCUCAUUAUGAUCUACAUUAUAGAUUCAAGUCCAAACAGCUUUUGGACUUGAAUUUAAUAUUUUUUUUGAGGAGUUUAGGAGUCACCCAAGAUAUGGAAAAAUAGGUACAACUAAGAUAAUCCAGUCACCACACUUUAAAUCUAUUAGACUGUCAAAUGUUAUCUUAAUAUAUUCAUUCUUUAGCCUAUUUCUUUAUUAUAAAGCAAUAAAAAGAAUCUUUAAUAAAAGUAUUGAUGGAUUAUUUAAAGAUCAAUUCUGUUCACAUUGCUUUCAAAGCCUUCCUCUACAUUUUUAGUAUAAUAAUAUAAAAAAUGGGGUAAGAUUCAAAAGCUAUUAUUCAUCAAUACUAAAAUAUAUAAAUAAAAUUAAAACAUAUUUUAAAUAACUCAUUUUCCUGAGACAUUUAAAGACAUAAACAUAUGCUGAAAUUAUCUAAAUUAUCUUUUGGCAUACAGCAGUAAAGUUAAAUAGCAAUUCAUUAUGUAUUACAAAUAAUUAUUGAUUAGUAAUUGACAUGUUUUACUGCUUGAUACAAUCUAGAAUAUAAGAUGUAUCAACUAUAAGAACCACAAUGAAAAAUAAGUCUGCUUUUUCAAUUUCCUUAUAUUUUGAUUUUAUCCUAGUUGAAUAAUUCCCUGAAUGAGUUUAAUUUUGAACCAAAGCAUAUUCAAAAAGUCUGAAAAGAAAAUGGACUCAUUUCCAUUUUAAAUGUCACUGAAAUGAAAAUACUAAAGUCUUGGAUAAGUGAUUUCCUUUCAUAAGGUUAAAUAUCUACCAAGAAUAUUAGCUGAGUUUUCUCAAAAUUGCCCUUUAAGUGCUAUUGCUGCCAAAAAACAAUACAAGGAAGUGAAGCAGGUAUUGUCUGAAAAUCACAGUGCCAUGACAUUAAAUUGCUGGGAUCUUAUUGCAGCUGGGAUGUCAUUGCCAAUGUUUAUUUUAACCAAUUUUAUAAAGCGAUUUUUAUUGCUGCCAUUUAGUAAUAUGCUUACCAACUUAAUCACUGCCCUGUAAACUGAUAAUUUGGUGAGUGAGGUAUAUUAUAAACAGAUCUUUGCUGCACAGUGUGUUAAGACCUAUAAUAGAAGUGUUAGUAAGGUACUUUGCAGCACAAGAAGAAAGGAUUCUACCUCCCAGAGGCCAAGGGAAGGUUUCAGAAAAAAACAGUAAUUGGAAUGUAUGUUUAAGGAUGAGGAGAACUUUGUUAAGGCAUGAAGAACUCUCCAAGAGGGGAACAGGGCAAAGGCACAAAGUUCUAACAACCUCAAAUGAUUAGCUGAUGGGUGAUGCUCAGUAUAACUAAAAAUCAGAAAAUUACAUUAAAGGAAAAAUUAUUCACUUACAGACAUAGGAUCUUCAUAUUAGAAGAGCCAGUCUUCACAACUGAUGGAGUAGCUCAUAAUUGCUAGGGAAACUGCAAGCUAAAUUGGAGUCUUUGGGGAAAAGAUCACAGGUAUAUUUAUUUCUAAAUAAUUACCCCGGAGAUUCUAAUGCUUGUUGGUAACACAAAAUAUUGUUAGAUUAAGUCAUUGUUUUGUAGCAUAAAAUAUGAAUUUUUAUUGUAAAAUUUCAUGUUACAGCUUCACUUUUGCUGUAUGCCAAGUGGCUAUAAAUUACAGCUAUAAAAUAUGUAAGAAUAUCAACCUGAUAGUUAAACACAACUGUUCCCAGAAGUCUUUGUGAGAAUAGAGAACUUUCUAAAACCUAUAUUUUUGAGGCUCUGAUUUUUUUUCAGCUUAUUGUGUAAUUGACGAAAUUAUGGAAAAUUUAAAGUGCACAAAAUGUCGGUUUGAUAUAUGUAUAUAUUGUGAAAGGAUUGCUUCCUUCAAGUUAAUUAACACACCCUUCAAUCACCUCACAUUCUCACCUUUUUUUUGGUGAGAACACUUAAGUUCUAGUCUCUUAUCAAAUUUUGAAUAUGCAAUGUAGUAUAAUUAUACAAUAUAGUAUAGUUAUCAUCUGUAGUCACUAUAUUGUACAUUAUCUUCUCAAACACUUUCUGUCUUACAACUGAAAGGUUACAGUUACCAACCUCUCGCUCUUUCCCCCAGCCCCUCACCCCUGGCAACUAUCAUUCUACUACAUGUUUUUAUGAAUUUGGUUUUUUUAGAUUCCACAUAUGAGUGAGGUUAUACAGCAUUUGUCUUUCUCCAUCUGGCUUAUUUCACUUAGUCUUGUGCUCCAAUUCAUGUUGUCACAAAUGAUACAACUUCCUUCUUAUUUAAAAUGGAAUACUUUUCCGUUAUAUAUGCAUGAAUAUGCAUAUGUGUGUGUGCGUGUGUGUGCGUGUGGACUCUUAUGUUGUUUCCACACCUUGGCUUUGAAUAAUACUGCGCUGAGUAUGGGAAUACAGAUCUCUCUUUGAGAUACAGAUUUCAUUUCCUUUGGCUAUAUACCCAGAAGUGGAAUUGCUGGAUCAUAUCAUAGUCCUAUUUUUAAUUAAUUGAGAAACUACCAUACUGUUUUUCUUAAUGACUGUACUAGUUUAAAUUCCUACCAGUAGUGUACAAAAGUUCCCUUUUCUUCACAUCUUCACCAGUAUUUGCUAUCCUUUUUUUUCCCAUUCUUUUCUCUUCCUUUCUUUUCUCUUUUCUUUUCUGGCUGCACCCACAGUGUGUAGAAAUUCUCAGGCUAGGGAUCUAACCCACACCAAGCAGUGACCAGAGCAACUGCAGUGACUAUGCUAGAUUCUUUAACGCACUGUGCUCCAAGGGAAGUUCCAUCCCUUUACUUUUUGAUAGUAGCCAUUCUAACAGAUGUGAGAUGAUAGCUCAUUGUGGUUUUGAUGUGCGUUCCCCUGAUGAUUACUUUUUAUUUUUAAUGAUUUUUAUUUUUUCCAUUAUAGUUGGUUUACAGUGUUCAGCCAAUUUUCUACUAUACAGCAAAGUGACCCAGUCACUCACACACACACACACACACACACACACACACACACACACAUUCUUUUUCUCACAUUAUCCUCUAUCAUGCUCCAUCACAAGUGACCAGAUAUAAUUCCUAGUACUAUACAGCAGGAUCUCAUUGCUUAUCCAUUCCUAAUGCAUAGUUUGCAUCUAUUAACCCCAGAUUCCUAGUCCAUCCCACUCCCUCCCUCUCUGCCUUGGCAACCACAAGUCUGUGAGAAGAAGCUUUUUAAUUUGAUAGUUCAAUUUUGAUAAAUUGAAUGGUAUUAUAUUGAAUUCUAAUGCAUUAUGUUACAAGAAAAACACAGACAGAAACUUAAGACAUAUCAAUUGUAACAGUCCAGUGCAUUUUCUGUUUGGUUUAACUAAUACACAUAGAAG
rnacentral:lncRNA from 1 species